rnacentral:rRNA from 1 species
GAUGAACGCUGGCGGCGUGCCUAAUACAUGCCAGUCGAGCGAAUGGACGAGAAGCUUGCUUCUCUGAUGUUAGCGGCGGACGGGUGAGUAACACGUGGAUAACCUACCUAUAAGACUGGGAUAACUUCGGGAAACCGUAGCUAAUACCGGAUAAUAUUUUGAACCGCAUGGUUCAAAAGUGAAAGACGGUCUUGCUGUCACUUAUAGAUGGAUCCGCGCUGCAUUAGCUAGUUGGUAAGGUAACGGCUUACCAAGGCAACGAUGCAUAGCCGACCUGAGAGGGUGAUCGGCCACACUGGAACUGAGACACGGUCCAGACUCCUACGGGAGGCAGCAGUAGGGAAUCUUCCGCAAUGGGCGAAAGCCUGACGGAGCAACGCCGCGUGAGUGAUGAAGGUCUUCGGAUCGUAAAACUCUGUUAUUAGGGAAGAACAUAUGUGUAAGUAACUGUGCACAUCUUGACGGUACCUAAUCAGAAAGCCACGGCUAACUACGUG